rnacentral:rRNA from 1 species
GUGCCAGCAGCCGCGGUAAUACGUAGGGCGCAAGCGUUAUCCGGAAUUAUUGGGCGUAAAGAGCUCGUAGGCGGUUUGUCGCGUCUGCCGUGAAAGUCCGGGGCUCAACUCCGGAUCUGCGGUGGGUACGGGCAGACUAGAGUGAUGUAGGGGAGACUGGAAUUCCUGGUGUAGCGGUGAAAUGCGCAGAUAUCAGGAGGAACACCGAUGGCGAAGGCGGGUCUCUGGGCAUUAACUGACGCUGAGGAGCGAAAGCAUGGGGAGCGAACAGGAUUAGAUACCCUGGUAGUCC